GGAGAAGGCUAUGUUGGCCGGGCGACGGUUGUCCCGGUUUAAGCGUGUAGGUGUGUGUUCCAGGUAAAUCCGGUUCACUUUAACACUGAGGCGUGACGACGAGGCACUACGGUGCUGAAGCAACAAAUGCCCUGCUUCCAGGAAAAGCCUCUAAGCAUCAGGUAACAUCAAAUCGUACCCCAAACCGACACAGGUGGUCAGGUAGAGAAUACCAAGGCGCUUGAGAGAACUCGGGUGAAGGAACUAGGCAAAAUGGUGCCGUAACUUCGGGAGAAGGCACGCUGACACGUAGGUGAAGUGAUUUACUCAUGGAGCUGAAGUCAGUCGAAGAUACCAGCUGGCUGCAACUGUUUAUUAAAAACACAGCACUGUGCAAACACGAAAGUGGACGUAUACGGUGUGACGCCUGCCCGGUGCCGGAAGGUUAAUUGAUGGGGUCAGCGCAAGCGAAGCUCCUGAUCGAAGCCCCGGUAAACGGCGGCCGUAACUAUAACGGUCCUAAGGUAGCGAAAUUCCUUGUCGGGUAAGUUCCGACCUGCACGAAUGGCGUAAUGAUGGCCAGGCUGUCUCCACCCGAGACUCAGUGAAAUUGAACUCGCUGUGAAGAUGCAGUGUACCCGCGGCAAGACGGAAAGACCCCGUGAACCUUUACUAUAGCUUGACACUGAACAUUGAGCCUUGAUGUGUAGGAUAGGUGGGAGGCUUUGAAGUGUGGACGCCAGUCUGCAUGGAGCCGACCUUGAAAUACCACCCUUUAAUGUUUGAUGUUCUAACGUGGACCCGUUACCCGGGUUGCGGACAGUGUCUGGUGGGUAGUUUGACUGGGGCGGUCUCCUCCUAAAGAGUAACGGAGGAGCACGAAGGUUGGCUAAUCCUGGUCGGACAUCAGGAGGUUAGUGCAAUGGCAUAAGCCAGCUUGACUGCGAGCGUGACGGCGCGAGCAGGUGCGAAAGCAGGUCAUAGUGAUCCGGUGGUUCUGAAUGGAAGGGCCAUCGCUCAACGGAUAAAAGGUACUCCGGGGAUAACAGGCUGAUACCGCCCAAGAGUUCAUAUCGACGGCGGUGUUUGGCACCUCGAUGUCGGCUCAUCACAUCCUGGGGCUGAAGUAGGUCCCAAGGGUAUGGCUGUUCGCCAUUUAAAGUGGUACGCGAGCUGGGUUUAGAACGUCGUGAGACAGUUCGGUCCCUAUCUGCCGUGGGCGCUGGAGAACUGAGGGGGGCUGCUCCUAGUACGAGAGGACCGGAGUGGACGCAUCACUGGUGUUCGGGUUGUCAUGCCAAUGGCACUGCCCGGUAGCUAAAUGCGGAAGAGAUAAGUGCUGAAAGCAUCUAAGCACGAAACUUGCCCCGAGAUGAGUUCUCCCUGAGACUUUAGGUCUCCUGAAGGAACGUUGAAGACGACGACGUUGAUAGGCCGGGUGUGUAAGCGCAGCGAUGCGUUGAGCUAACCGGUACUAAUGAACCGUGAGGCUUAACCUU
rnacentral:rRNA from 1 species